rnacentral:rRNA from 1 species
AAGAUUAAGCCAUGCAUGUCUAAGUAUAAGCAAUUUAUACAGUGAACUGCGAAUGGCUCAUUAAUCAGUUAUCGUUUAUUUGAUAGUUCCUUUACUACAUGGUAUAACUGUGGUAAUUCUAGAGCUAAUACAUGCUUAAAUCUCGACCCUUUGGAAGAGAUGUAUUUAUUAGAAUAAAUACAAUGUCUUCGGACUCUUUGAUGAUUCAUAAUAACUUUUCGAAUCGCAU